CCUGGCCCAGCCCUCCGCAGGGUGUAACCCUGCUCUAGAGUGAGCUUUCAUUCACUGUGGAGCAGAAAAUGCAUCUAUGAGCAUCAAUUCACUGUGUCCUGCCCGGCUUCAGGGCCUCAGAGGCAUCCUGAAGAGCAUCCGGGGAAGCCUUAGAGCCAUGGGCUCCUCUGCUAAGAACUGGUGAUGUCAUGCAGGCUGGAAGCUGACAAUUUAAGUCAAUUCACUCUCCAAAAAUGUUGCACCCCUGCUGCGUGUUAAGCUCAUUAAAGUUGGAGAGUUGAAUGAGCUAA
rnacentral:lncRNA from 1 species